CGGAUUGUAAAGCACUUUAAGUUGGGAGGAAGGGUUGUAGAUUAAUACUCUGCAAUUUUGACGUUACCGACAGAAUAAGCACCGGCUAACUCUGUGCCAGCAGCCGCGGUAAUACAGAGGGUGCAAGCGUUAAUCGGAAUUACUGGGCGUAAAGCGCGCGUAGGUGGUUCGUUAAGUUGGAUGUGAAAUCCCCGGGCUCAACCUGGGAACUGCAUUCAAAACUGUCGAGCUAGAGUAUGGUAGAGGGUGGUGGAAUUUCCUGUGUAGCGGUGAAAAUGCGUAGAUAUAGGAAGGAACACCAGUGGCGAAGGCGACCACCUGGACAAAGACUGACGCUCAGAUGCGAAAGCGUGGGGAGCAAACAGGAUUAGAUACCCUGGUAG
rnacentral:rRNA from 1 species